UAAUCGGCAACCAAACCGGAAGAAGCGGCAUGCAACAGGCGGCGAACAAGUCAUUAUUGAGAUCAAACUGGGUGAAUUAAGAACGGCCAAGAAUGGAGACCGUGCCGAGCAAUAUCUUAAUACCAUCCUUCCUCAAAAAAGUUGUGUCGACUGCAGUUACUUGUACGGAUGGCCAACUGUAAAUCCCAAGUAGCUCAUCCCAAGUAGCAUUUACUAGAAUCCGGUCUGCAGAACAUUGAAAGGCAAUUAAUUUUCUUAACUAACGGUUGCAUUGAAUUCGUCAUGCAAUACUUAUAUCUUCAUAAAAUAUCUUGCUCAAUCUCAGCUCUGUCCAGAAAUGUGCCUCAACCUUUUUAAUUUUUUAGGUUAAUUGAAUGAUUUGAAUCUCCCACUUCUUGUCCCAUUAUUAUUCCAUGUCAAACGCUAGAUAGCGAAAAGUCUUUCUGUCACUGCGUGUCGCUGUUGAUGAGGAUACCGAACGGCUAGGAGUGCUGGAGAUUUCGGCAAUUCAAGUAUUCGAACUUCGGCGUCAUGUCAGUGAUACCUUCCAAGUCGUCCCAUACCAUGUGGUCGACGUGGGUUCUUCUGGCUGCCUUGAUGGUCACCGAUAAAACUGCGAAACAUAAAUUACAACAUGCAUCACAGGGUAACUAAUUGAUAAAAAUAACUGGCUGUUUUGAUAGGAAACUACAAGUCAGAUGCUGGAAAUAUCUGAUCAUUUCUUAGAAUUUGAACCAGUUUUGCAAGGGGGUGUCAGAUGUGUAAGCCGUUCGUUAUCAACUUCUUUUCGAAGUGGCUGAUAAGUAUGACGUCUUGACUCUUUAAACUGUGUGUGUGGCACACCAGCAAUCCGACCUCUUC